rnacentral:rRNA from 1 species
UACAGAGGUGGCAAGCGUUGUUCGGAUUUACUGGGCGUAAAGGGCGCGUAGGCGGCAUGACGAGUCACUUGUGAAAUCUCCGGGCUUAACUCGGAACGGCCAAGUGAUACUGUCAAGCUAGAGUGCAGAAAGGGCAAUCGGAAUUCUUGGUGUAGCGGUGAAAUGCGUAGAUAUCGAGAGGAACACCUGCGGCGAAGGCGGGUAGCUGGGCCGACACUGACGCUGAGGCGCGAAAGCCAGGGGAGCGAACGGG